GACGAACGCUGGCGGCGUGCUUAACACAUGCAAGUCGAACGGAAAGGCCCUGCUUUUGUGGGGUGCUCGAGUGGCGAACGGGUGAGUAACACGUGAGUAACCUGCCCUUGACUUUGGGAUAACUUCAGGAAACUGGGGCUAAUACCGGAUAGGAGCUCCUGCUGCAUGGUGGGGGUUGGAAAGUUUCGGCGGUUGGGGAUGGACUCGCGGCUUAUCAGCUUGUUGGUGGGGUAGUGGCUUACCAAGGCUUUGACGGGUAGCCGGCCUGAGAGGGUGACCGGCGACAUUGGGACUGAGAUACGGCCCAGAGUCCUACGGGAGGCAGCAGUGGGGAAUAUUGCACAAUGGGCGGAAGCCUGAUGCAGCAACGCCGCGUGCGGGAUGACGGCCUUCGGGGUGUAAACCGCUUUCGCCUGUGACGAAGCGUGAGUGACGGUAAUGGGUAAAGAAGCACCGGCUAACUACGUG
rnacentral:rRNA from 1 species